CGAAGCUCCUUAAAGCGGCACCCGUUCGUCCCUCGUAGUGCUCCGUAACAUGUCUUACGCUUUGACCUCCAAGGUGGUGCCGGUGGGAGAUUUCUCCUGUGCGUUGUUGAACAAUAAAAAAUUCGCAGCGUGCGCGUUAACUAAAAGCCGAA